GGAGACCGGAACGGAAAGGAGGAAGAGACAGGAGGGAGAGGGAGAGAAGCCGUGGCAGGACAAUAUGGAAGCUGACGUUAAGAUUCCACACUGUACCUUUACAGGUCUUGAUGUGAACUCUCAGCUUGCUGUUCCAACAGCCAUGCCCGUGGCCUCUGUUCCACCAUUGUGGAUUCAAAACCUCUCACACUGCCAGAGAGAGAGAGAGAGAGAGAGAGAGAGAGAGAGAGAGAGAGAGAGAGAGAGAGAGGAGAGAGAGGACCUGCACUGUAAUAAAGUGAAAGGUGUCUUCAGUGCCACAGCUUAACCAACUGAACUUCCAAUGUCUGAAAGGAAAAGGCCUAAGGAGUGUUCUGUUCCCACAAAAAAUCAUCCACGCUUCGAAUGUGGCUUGAGGGGACAAGGGUUCAUGCCAACGUAGCGUCAGAGUUUGGCAGUGUCCUCCAACUUUAGCAAAGGUGCAGGAGGGACUAAAGGAGUUGUGGAAACUUCUCCUGCGGUUUCUGAGAUGUGCCCCGACCAGGUGUGCAUCAGGCUCCUUCUUGGAGGCCUUGAGAGGCUAUUGAAUGGCGUUGUGGAAAUAAAUCCUGCCUUGUGUUGGAAACCCCAUAUUUGGAGAAUCCAGAGCUGUGGGAUAUCUGCCAAGGAAUGCUGUAUACAGGACGUGGAACCAACCCAGGAAAGAGAUGUAUGCUACAGGCAACAACUCUGGGAGGGGAAAGCCAGCUAAGUCCUUUUGACACUGGACAUGGGACAGCAGGACUUGAUGUUUGCACUGCUCGGCUCACUCCCGUUUUAGUCCAGUAUUUUCUCACUCCCUUUCGGAUUGAUAAUGUCUGUUCUGAACCACUAUAUAUAUAUCGGAAGUAUGUAACUUCACUUUUGAUUUUACAGAUGGCGAUAGUUAAGAGAUUGCCUUGAGUCUCCAAAGAGGCUUUGGACUUCCUGCUUUUAAACAGUGUCGAGAGCAAAAGACUGUGGGGACCUUCUAGAGUUGGAACACAUGGAAAUUGAACUACGAUGUGGCCACUAGCCUGCAAGGCUGGGGAGUGUGGUGUGGUGUUCUAAAUGUGAAUGUUUCAGCACAGGCUUAGAUGUCUGUAUUGUUGGUCCCCAGCUGGCAGCUUGGGGACAUUUAGGAGGUAUGGCUUCACUGGAGGAAAUUUAUCACUAGAGGUGGGCUUUGAGAUUUCAAAAGCCAUACCCCAUUCCUACUUUGUUCUCUCUGCUUCCUGCACAUAGUUCAAGAUGUGAGCUCUCAGCUUGUUGUUCCAGUAGUUAUGCCUGCAGUCUCCACUCCAUCAUCAUGGACUCUAAUACUCUGGAACUGGGUUGCCAAACACACUUUUUCUAGAAGUUUCCUUGGUCAUGGCAUUUUAUUAUAGCAAUUGAAAAGUAGCAGUUAUAGGAACACACCAUGGAGUAUGGGAAAAACUUCUUAACUGUUGAGUUCAAACCACUAAUAUUCUAGGACACUGCUAAUAGUUUUGUGAGAUCUCUACAGGAUUGAUUUCUGCACAUUAAAUUCAGAAAGAAAACUCGGGAACUGGUGCUCAUUUUCUAUUUGACUGCAUUAUGAAUGGAUAACAGAUUACAAAAUCCUACAAGUCACUAAUGACACAUAUAAGAAUGUCCUCUUCUAUAACCUAGAUGUAUCACUUGCCCCGUUAGCAUUUUGUCUAAGUUCCGCACCACAGUUACCUGGCAACAGCCAGGUAUGCUUGAC
ensembl:lncRNA